GAUGAACGCUGGCGGCGUGCCUAAUACAUGCAAGUCGAGCGAGCGGACGAGAAGCUUGCUUCUCUGAUGUUAGCGGCGGACGGGUGAGUAACACGUGGAUAACCUACCUAUAAGACUGGGAUAACUUCGGGAAACCGGAGCUAAUACCGGAUAAUAUUUUGAACCGCAUGGUUCAAAAGUGAAAGACGGUCUUGCUGUCACUUAUAGAUGGAUCCGCGCUGCAUUAGCUAGUUGGUAAGGUAACGGCUUACCAAGGCAACGAUGCAUAGCCGACCUGAGAGGGUGAUCGGCCACACUGGAACUGAGACACGGUCCAGACUCCUACGGGAGGUAGCAGUAGGGAAUCUUCCGCAAUGGGCGAGAGCCUGACGGAGCAACGCCGCGUGAGUGAUGAAGGUCUUCGGAUCGUAAAACUCUGUUAUUAGGGAAGAACAUAUGUGUAAGUAACUGUGCACAUCUUGACGGUACCUAAUCAGAAAGCCACGGCUAACUACGUG
rnacentral:rRNA from 1 species